UUCUACUUUAACCACGGAUGAUAAAUGAGCCGACUAAGUCGGUAAAUUGAACUCUGCCUCGAAUUUAUAAAUUUUAGAACGUAUUUAGUGUGCGUGGUUGCAAAAUAUUUUACUUUUAAUGAAAUUCGUAAAAUCUAUUUACUACCCUGAUAGCCAUUGCAUACUAUAAGUUAACGACAAGUUUACUGGUAAACUUGUUUACAAGGUAGUUUCGGAAAUAUCCAUCAACUUAACUAAAAGAACUUGAAUGUCAACUUGGCGAUAACUUUACCAUAACUUGAAGAUAUUCGAAGUCAAUAUGGCUGACCUUGCGAAAAAAUCCAUUUAUCCGAGUCAGUUGGUAAUUUACUAGAACUUGUAGUGGGAAAAAAAUUUUAAUUUCUUUUCGUAUGCCAUUGUGGGUCAAUAAACCAUUUAUAAAUCGAAAUGUCAAUGAUGAACAGCUGAACAAUGUCUUCGUCAUAGCUACGUUAUAGUGCAUAAAUAGGUAUUCACGGGAAUUUACCAAUGCCAAGGAUACUGGCCGAAAUAACAGUAAUAUCUGUUGCAACAUCUGGACUUUGUACAUCACGAUAUAAAGCAAUAUUUCCGUUCCUUGUAUCAAUUACGCAAAUACCGCUAUUAAUGAUUGUAUUACGAAUAGAUCAGUUGGCGAGCAAGAAAGAUCAUUUGCAUUAGGAAUGCAAUUUGUAAUAUUCAGGCUACUUGGUUACAUCUCAGUGCUAAUACUCUUCGGCAAUUUAAUCGACUACACGUGUCGAUACACUUAAUCCAAGGCUCGAUAGACAUGACAAAUCACUUAAAACUUCUCGGUAAUUGUUCGGACCCUAAGCAAGUCGACGACGUUGAAUUUAAGCUUCUCUACUGUAAAUUAAAAUUUAACGAUCGUCACGUUAAAUGAUGAUUUCACUAUAAACAAUAGAUUAAUUGACUAUUAUUAUAAUUAAUUUUUUAAUUUGAAUAUUUAUGGCUAAUUUUUCAAUCUGCUUAAAAUUAAGCUCAAUAUUUUUUUUCUCUAUUUAUUAUUAUAACUUAAAAUUAAUCACGGUAUUUAGUUGCCAAUUAUAUUCGAUGAUUAAAUACAAACACAAUCUGAAUCCAUAUCAUUAUCACGCAGCCAUUUUUUGAGCUUAUUCAUUUCUUUGAUACAAAUUAACGCCGCCGUAUCGAUAACAUUUAUAAAAUAUAAAUAUAAAUUAAUUAAAACUCAAUGUAAUUUAUUGAAGAGGUUUC